GAUGAACGCUGGCGGCGUGCUUAACACAUGCAAGUCGAACGGAAAGGCCGAAGCUUGCUUCGGUACUCGAGUGGCGAACGGGUGAGUAACACGUGGGUGAUCUGCCCUGUACUUCGGGAUAAGCUUGGGAAACUGGGUCUAAUACCGGAUAUGACAAUCUCUUGGAUGGGGUUGUGGAAAGCUUUGCGGUAUGGGAUGAGCUCGCGGCCUAUCAGCUUGUUGGUGGGGUAAUGGCCUACCAAGGCGUCGACGGGUAGCCGGCCUGAGAGGGUGUACGGCCACAUUGGGACUGAGAUACGGCCCAGACUCCUACGGGAGGCAGCAGUGGGGAAUAUUGCACAAUGGGCGCAAGCCUGAUGCAGCGACGCCGCGUGGGGGAUGACGGCCUUCGGGUUGUAAACUCCUUUCGCAACCGACGAAGCUUUUGUGACGGUAGGUUGAGAAGAAGCACCGGCUAACUACGUGCCAGCAGCCGCGGUAAUACGUAGGGUGCGAGCGUUGUCCGGAAUUACUGGGCGUAAAGAGCUCGUAGGUGGUUUGUCGCGUCGUUUGUGGAAUACCGCAGCUUAACUGCGGGGUUGCAGGCGAUACGGGCAUAACUUGAGUGCUGUAGGGGAGACUGGAAUUCCUGGUGUAGCGGUGGAAUGCGCAGAUAUCAGGAGGAACACCGAUGGCGAAGGCAGGUCUCUGGGCAGUAACUGACGCUGAGGAGCGAAAGCAUGGGGAGCGAACAGG
rnacentral:rRNA from 1 species